GACGAACGCUGGCGGCGUGCUUAACACAUGCAAGUCGAACGAUGAAACUCUUCGGAGUGGAUUAGUGGCGAACGGGUGAGUAACACGUGGGCAAUCUGCCCUGUACUUUGGGAUAAGCCUUGGAAACGGGGUCUAAUACCGGAUAUCACUUCUCUGGGCAUCCAGGGUUGUUGAAAGUUCUGGCGGUACAGGAUGAGCCCGCGGCCUAUCAGCUUGUUGGUGGGGUAAUGGCCUACCAAGGCGACGACGGGUAGCCGGCCUGAGAGGGUGACCGGCCACACUGGGACUGAGACACGGCCCAGACUCCUACGGGAGGCAGCAGUGGGGAAUAUUGGACAAUGGGCGAAAGCCUGAUCCAGCAACGCCGCGUGA
rnacentral:rRNA from 1 species